rnacentral:rRNA from 1 species
UACGUAGGGGGCAAGCGUUGUCCGGAAUCAUUGGGCGUAAAGAGCGCGUAGGCGGCUUUGCAAGUGACGGGUGAAAGCCCUCGGCUUAACCGAGGAACUGCCUGUCAGACUGUAAGGCUUGAGACCGGGAGAGGUGAGUGGAAUUCCCAGUGUAGCGGUGAAAUGCGUAGAUAUUGGGAGGAACACCAGUGGCGAAGGCGGCUCACUGGACCGGAACUGACGCUGAGGCGCGAAAGCGUGGGGAGCAAACAGG